GAGACGCUGGCGGCGUGGAUUAGGCAUGCAAGUCGAACGGUAUCAUCCUUUCGGGGGUGAGAGAGUGGCGAACUGGUGAGUAACACGUAGGUUAUCUACCCUCAAGACGGGGACAACCCAGGGAAACUUGGGCUAAUACCGGAUGUGAGCAACUUUAGUUGUUUGAAAGGUGGCGUAAGCUGUCGCUUGGGGAUGAGCCUGCGUCCUAUUAGUUAGUUGGUGAGGUAACGGCUCACCUAGGCAAUGAUAGGUAGGCGGCCUUAACGGGUGGUCGCCCACACUGGGAUUGAGAUACGGCCCAGACUCCUACGGGAGGCAGCAGUCGAGAAUAGUCUACAAUGGUCGGAAGACUGAUAGUGCGACGCCGCGUGAACGAUGAAUCCCUUCGGGGUGUAAAGUUCUUUUAUAUGUGAGCAGUGCUUCUUAUAUUAACAGUAUGGGGAGAGAGAUAUUAGCAUAUGAAUAAGCAACGGCUAACUCCGUG
rnacentral:rRNA from 1 species